rnacentral:rRNA from 1 species
UGACGGUACCUGACUAAGAAGCUCCGGCUAAAUACGUGCCAGCAGCCGCGGUAAUACGUAUGGAGCAAGCGUUAUCCGGAUUUACUGGGUGUAAAGGGAGCGUAGACGGCGAGGCAAGUCUGAUGUGAAAGCCAUGGGCUCAACCCAUGAACUGCAUUGGAAACUGUCUUGCUAGAGUGUCGGAGAGGUAAGCGGAAUUCCUAGUGUAGCGGUGAAAUGCGUAGAUAUUAGGAGGAACACCAGUGGCGAAGGCGGCUUACUGGACGAUAACUGACGUUGAGGCUCGAAAGCGUGGGGAGCAAACAGGAUUAGAUACCCUG